rnacentral:rRNA from 1 species
GGUCUUGACAUCCCGGAGACCCUUAGGAAACUAGGGGUGCUUCCAUCUGGAAGAAUCUGGAGACAGGUGCUGCAUGGCUGUCGUCAGCUCGUGUCGUGAGAUGUUGGGUUAAGUCCCGCAACGAGCGCAACCCUUGUCCUUAGUUACCAGCACGUUAUGGUGGGCACUCUAAAGGGACUGCCGGUGUUAAACCGGAGGAAGGUGGGGAUGACGUCAAGUCCUCAUGGCCUUUAUGACCAGGGCUACACACGUACUACAAUGGCCGAUACAAAGGGCAGCGACACUGCGAGGUGAAGCCAAUCCCGUAAAAUCGGUCUCAGUCCGGAUUGGAGUCUGCAACUCGACUCCAUGAAGUUGGAAUCGCUAGUAAUCGUGGAUCAGCAUGCCACGGUGAAUACGUUCCCGGGCCUU